GGGUCAGUAGGUUGGUCGUGCCACCGGUACGUACCGGUCUCACUGAUUCCUCCUUCCUGAAGAACUGUAAUGCCAUUAAUUUGGUGUUGCGGGGAAACAGGACUGUUACUUUGAAAAAAUUAGAGUGUUUAAAGCAAGCUAACGCUUGAAUACAUUAGCAUGGAAUAAUGAAAUAGGACGAUCGAUCCUAUUUUGUUGGUUUCUAGGAUUGACGUA
rnacentral:rRNA from 1 species